GAUCGAACGGCGUGGCGGCGUGCUUAACACAUGCAAGUCGAACGGAGAAGUCAAACGGAUUGAGGAUUCGUCCAAAUGAAGUUGAGGAAAGUGGCGGACGGGUGAGUAACGCGUGAGGAACCUGCCUCGGAGUGGGGAAUAACAGUUGGAAACAGCUGCUAAUACCGCAUAAUGCAACGAAAUCGCAUGACUUUGUUGCCAAAGAUUUAUCGCUCUGAGAUGGCCUCGCGUCUGAUUAGCUAGUUGGCGGGGUAACGGCCCACCAAGGCGACGAUCAGUAGCCGGACUGAGAGGUUGGCCGGCCACAUUGGGACUGAGACACGGCCCAG
rnacentral:rRNA from 1 species